UGGUGGAGCGAUUUGUCUGGUCAAUUCCGAUAACGAACGAGACUCUAGCCUACUAAAUAGUUCGGGGACCCCCACAAAGGAGCCCCGCUACAACUUCUAAGAGGGACAGGUGGCGUUUAGCCACACGAGAUUGAGCAAUAACA
rnacentral:rRNA from 1 species